GGAGGCGCCCAAAGGUUCCCUCAGAAUGGUUGGAAAUCAUUCGUAGAGUGCAAAGGCAUAAGGGAGCUUGACUGCGAGACCUACAAGUCGAGCAGGGACGAAAGUCGGGCUUAGUGAUCCGGUGGUUCCGCAUGGAAGGGCCAUCGCUCAACGGAUAAAAGCUACCCCGGGGAUAACAGGCUUAUCUCCCCCAAGAGUCCACAUCGACGGGGAGGUUUGGCACCUCGAUGUCGGCUCAUCGCAUCCUGGGGCUGUAGUCGGUCCCAAGGGUUGGGCUGUUCGCCCAUUAAAGCGGUACGCGAGCUGGGUUCAGAACGUCGUGAGACAGUUCGGUCCCUAUCCGUCGUGGGCGUAGGAAAUUUGAGAGGAGCUGUCCUUAGUACGAGAGGACCGGGAUGGACGCACCGCUGGUGUACCAGUUGUUCUGCCAAGGGCAUAGCUGGGUAGCUAUGUGCGGAAGGGAUAAGUGCUGAAAGCAUCUAAGCAUGAAGCCCCCCUCAAGAUGAGAUUUCCCAUAGCGUAAGCUAGUAAGAUCCCUGAAAGAUGAUCAGGUUGAUAGGUUCGAGGUGGAAGCAUGGUGACAUGUGGAGCUGACGAAUACUAAUAGAUCGAGGACUUAACCAU
rnacentral:rRNA from 2 species